UUGUAUAUUUAAAAUAUGCAAUGUAUAAGGUUGCAAUGUGUCACAACUCUGCCUUUACAAACAGUUUGCAUACCGCGGUAUAACAGUUUGCAAACAUUGUAUUGAUACGUUUUGGAAGUCAUCCUAUCAUUGGAAUUUUUGUA